ACUCCUACGGGAGGCAGCAGUGGGGAAUAUUGCACAAUGGGCGCAAGCCUGAUGCAGCCAUGCCGCGUGUAUGAAGAAGGCCUUCGGGUUGUAAAGUACUUUCAGCAGUGAGGAAGGUGGGUAUGUUAAUAGCAUACUCAUUUGUACGUUAGCUGCAGAAGAAGCACCGGCUAACUCCGUGCCAGCAGCCGCGGUAAUACGGAGGGUGCGAGCGUUAAUCGGAAUUACUGGGCGUAAAGCGCAUGCAGGUGGUUGUUAAGUCAGAUGUGAAAGCCCGGGGCUCAACCUCGGAAUUGCAUUUGAAACUGGCAAACUAGAGUACUGUAGAGGGGGUAGAAUUUCAGGUGUAGCGGUGAAAUGCGUAGAGAUCGUGAAGGAAUACCGGUGGCGAAGGCGGCCCCUGGACAGAUACUGACACUCAGAUGCGAAAGCGUGGGAGCAAACGA
rnacentral:rRNA from 1 species